GAAUCUUCUAUGAUGAAGCAUACCGGAUGUAAAUCUAUCAGUAUACCACCGAGAGCGCAAAACCGUGUGGAUAUUUCCGUUGCCUUCCUUCUGAUCUCAUUGAUU
rfam:Diplodia corticola strain CBS 112549 scaffold21, whole genome shotgun sequence.